rnacentral:lncRNA from 1 species
GCCAAUGAUACUUUCUCGUCGUCAAUCGUUGCAUGCAAGUAGAAGAAUUGCUCGGCCCUACAAAGUCAGCUUGUUGGGUAUUCAUCUCCAUCGAAACAAAGGAAGUCCAGCUUUACCAUUUUUGGGGUGUAAGAACUUGUAGAGCCACCUGACUGAAAAUGACUUCCAUAUGAUUUUGCUUGCGUGUGAUAAUUACCUUCAUUCUCUUUUGUUGAAGGUGUUGUCAUCUGAUCUAUCUGAACGUUGAGCUAGUUGAAAAGCUCACCCAUUCGACGCAUGAUAUCCUAAUGGCUGGUGGACAGUGAGUUUAUGGUCUACUCGAUUUGCUCAACCCGUUGUUCCAUGCCUAGCUUUU